GGAAUUUUGCGCAAUGGGGGUAACCCUGACGCAGCAACGCCGCGUGAGUGAGGAAGGACUUCGGUCUGUAAAGCUCUGUUAAUGUGGAAAAAUGGUAGCUGGUCUAAUAGGCCGGCUAUUUGAUGGUACACAUAGAGGAAGCACCGGCUAACUUCGUUCCAGCCGCCGCGGUAAUACGAAGGGUGCAAGCGUUGUUCGGAUUUAUUGGGCGUAAAGCGCGCGUAGGCGGACCUGCAAGUCAGAUGUGAAAUCUCGGGGCUCAACCUCGAAACUGCGUCUGAAACUACAGGUCUAGAAUCUCGGAGGGGGGAAGGGGAAUUUCGCAUGUAGGGGUAAAAUCCGUAGAUAUGCGAAGGAACACCAGAGGCGAAGGCGCCUUCCUGGACGAGUAUUGACGCUGAGGCGCGAAAGCGUGGGGAUCAAAC
rnacentral:rRNA from 1 species